AGAGUUUGAUCCUGGCUCAGAUUGAACGCUGGCGGCAGGCCUAACACAUGCAAGUCGAGCGGUAGAGAGAAGCUUGCUUCUCUUGAGAGCGGCGGACGGGUGAGUAAUGCCUAGGAAUCUGCCUGGUAGUGGGGGAUAACGUUCGGAAACGGACGCUAAUACCGCAUACGUCCUACGGGAGAAAGCAGGGGACCUUCGGGCCUUGCGCUAUCAGAUGAGCCUAGGUCGGAUUAGCUAGUUGGUGAGGUAAUGGCUCACCAAGGCGACGAUCCGUAACUGGUCUGAGAGGAUGAUCAGUCACACUGGAACUGAGACACGGUCCAGACUCCUACGGGAGGCAGCAGUGGGGAAUAUUGGACAAUGGGCGAAAGCCUGAUCCAGCCAUGCCGCGUGUGUGAAGAAGGUCUUCGGAUUGUAAAGCACUUUAAGUUGGGAGGAAGGGCAGUUACCUAAUACGUGAUUGUUUUGACGUUACCGACAGAAUAAGCACCGGCUAACUCUGUGCCAGCAGCCGCGGUAAU
rnacentral:rRNA from 2 species